rnacentral:lncRNA from 1 species
AAACGAAUGAAUAGGUCAAGUGUUCUACGUGCAUAUGUAGAUCCACAGGAAAGUUGGUGUUAGACUUAUUCUCUUUUAGUCUUAGCUAUUUACAUCUCCCUUUGGAAACUGUCUUUUUCUGUUUUCUUUCCCCCUGGAGCUGUAUGUUUUGCUUUAUGUAUGUCCUUUUUAUAUAUUAGGAAAUUUUUGCUCAUAGACACUUUCUAUCCUGAAAUGAACUCUGUGAGAAAAGACACCGUUUUCAUUUAAGAUGUCUGGAAUGUCUUUUAGAAAUGAAUAGGUCACCAUUCAUUUAUCUAUGAAUAAUUUUCUUCCAUUUUUGUAAUUCUAACCAGAACUGGACUCUUGUGCUUUGGGGGACCAUGGUUGUGAACAUUCAUGUGUAAGCAGUGAAGACUCUUUCGUGUGUCAGUGCUUUGAGGGGUACAUUCUUCGUGACGAUGGGAAGACCUGCAGAAGUAAGUUUACUAGAGCUAAUUCAUACAGCCAUGCCUAAUUCACACUGCAGGCUUAAUGUGAGCCAACUACUCUCAACAGCUAAUACCACACAAUCAAAUGUCAUGCAGGGUCCUUGGUGGGAUCCUGAAACAGAAGAGGGGUGCUAUGUAAUAAUGAAGUAACUACGUAUAAUUAUAGGUUUUACUAAAUAAUAAUUUGUCAAGCCAGGUGUAGUGGUACUUGCUUUGCUUCCCAUUACUCAGGACACAGAGGUAGGUGGAUCUCUGUGCAUUCAAGCCCUGUCUGGUCUACACAGCAAGUUCUAGGCUUCCUUACAUAGUGACACCCUCUCUCAAUGACAGCAACACACUAAGCUAGGCCUGGUGAGCUGGUGGUGUACUCCUAUCCUCCUAGCUACUUAGAGUGCUGGAGAGAUGGCUUAGUGAUUAAGAAUACUUGGGUCCUUCCAGAGGAUAUGAAUUCAGUUCCUAGCAUCCAUAUCAGGCAGCUUACAGGCUCCUGUAACUCCAGCUCCAGGGGAUCUGACCCCCUCUCCUGGCUUUUGCAGGCAACUACAUGCAUGUACACAUAUCCAUACACAGACACGUAAGUAAAAAUAUAAGUAAAUAAAUGGACUAAGGAUGUAGCUUCGUGGUUAGAGCACUUGCCAAGCAUACAUAAGGCUCUGGGUUCUGUCCCUAAAACUCCAACGACAACAAUAACAAUCAAAGCGCAGUGUGCACGACUGGGCGAAUGGAUCUUUGUCAGUCCUCUUCUCUGACUUCUCAAAACUCUUCCCAAAGAGCUGUGAAGGAAAGAUGAGUACCUGGAGUCGUUACUCUCAUUUCAGACGGGAAAGCUAAGUUUCUAAGAGGUUUCGUGAUUUUCCUAAAUAGUAGAUUAUGCCACUGACAAAGGUAAGAUCAGCUCCCAGUGCUAGCAAUUUAAAACCAAGCUUUCCCCUAUGUAACCUUACCAACAACACCUUCUCGUGACACCAGAAGCUAUGCCUGCAGACCGCUGGGGCUGGAUUGCAUCCUGAGACACUGAAGUUGGUGCUGGAGAGUGGAGGUGGCUAUGGCAGUGGGAAUGUUUGAAGACGGAAGUCAAUCCAGAGCCACCAGACUUCAUCCAGCUUCACCUUCCUACUCAAGGAGCAGUCCAGAGCCCAAGAUGAAUGGAUCUUCCAGGGGGAGUCCACGUAGACUUUUUGUUGAUGCAGUUGUUUUAAUCACCGUACUCUCCUCAGGGAAAGAUGUCUGCCAGGAUGUUAACCAUGGAUGUGAGCACCUUUGUGUGAACAGUGGCGAAUCAUACGUCUGCAAGUGUCUGGAGGGGUUCAGGCUGGCUGAGGAUGGGAAGCGCUGCAGGAGUAAGUAGCUCAAGGUCUGCAUAUGGAACUGGGCACAGCUCUUCACUGGAUCCUCACAUUCUACCUCUGUAGAAUUCGUAACCACGUUACAAACUCACAUCCCACCUGUGGGUGCUCUGAAGGUGUUUCCAAGGGAUCAAGUGAGCUGACUCUGGGCUCUUCAGGAAUUUCUCAGUGGCAGUCCUAAGUUGUCAGGCUUCUGUUCUGUUUCCUCCCAGCACUUGCAUGGUGGUUGGGUAGCUGUACAGGGCCUAAUUUAGUGCCUAGCAAGCUGAUGGGAAAAUCUAGAAUCAUUGGUAGCAAUUGACUACCAGGGCCAAAAAGAUAAUUUCAGCUCUUUUUCUUCUUGGCAGACCAUAUAUGUAAGGUAGGAGAAGGGCCGGAGGGAGGUUCUGUGGGGUUUUGAGAGGGGAAAGAAACCCAAACUAACAACAAAAGAAGACUUACCAUUUGCUUCCCUAGACCAGGUUUCUCAAGCAGAGUUUCAUUAGAAAGCUCCGGAGGGAUCUCAGAGAUGGCUCAGUUGGUAAAGAGCUUGCUGUGUAGGCAUGAGGACCCAAGGUCCAUCCCCAGUGCUGUGUAAAAGAAAGCAUGGUAGAGUACACCUAUCACCUCAGUGUGGGGAGGCAAAUACCAGAGAAUCCCAGACACUUGCUGGCCAGCCAAUUUAGUUGAUUUGGUGAGCUACAGCCUCAGAGAGAGACCUUGUCUCAAAAAAUAAAGUGGAUAGUGACUGAGGAAGACAUUGACUUCUGACCCCCACAAGCACAAACAUGAGUGCCCACAGAUAGUCACAUAUACGCAUGCUAGGAUUCUCCAGAAAAGUGGAUAACAGCGUUUAUGUGGCAGAGGAACACGUACAUACAUGUUGUAGAUAAAGGAAGAAAGGGGGAGAAAAGAAAGAGAAAUUGACUUUAAGGAAUUGGCUCAUGAAAUUGUGAGGGCUCGUGAGGAGGACGUCUCUUUGCCUGCUCUGAAGGCCUUCAUGUGACUAGAUGAGGCCCACACACACUUGGGAAGGCAGUCGGCUUUACUCAGAAUCUGCUGAUUUAAAUGUUAGCCUCACGUACAAGGUACAGAAACUUCUAGACCUGUGCUUGAC